rnacentral:rRNA from 1 species
UACAGAGGGUGCGAGCGUUGUCCGGAAUCACUGGGCGUAAAGGGCGCGUAGGUGGCGCAACAAGUCAGUGGUGAAAGCUCGACGCUCAACGUCGAGUCGGCCACUGAGACUGUUGGGCUUGAGCACUGUAGAGGCUAAUGGAAUUCCGGGUGUAGCGGUGGAAUGCGUAGAGAUCCGGAAGAACACCGGUGGCGAAAGCGCCUUGCUGGGUCUGCACUGACACUGAGGGACGAAAGCUAGGGGAGCGAAAGGG